rnacentral:rRNA from 1 species
AUUGAACGCUGGCGGCAUGCCUUACACAUGCAAGUCGAACGGUAACAGGUCUUCGGAUGCUGACGAGUGGCGAACGGGUGAGUAAUACAUCGGAACGUGCCUAGUAGUGGGGGAUAACUACUCGAAAGAGUGGCUAAUACCGCAUGAGAUCUACGGAUGAAAGCAGGGGAUCGCAAGACCUUGUGCUACUAGAGCGGCCGAUGGCAGAUUAGGUAGGUGGUGGGAUAAAAGCUUACCAAGCCGACGAUCUGUAGCUGGUCUGAGAUGACGAUCAGCCACAAUGGGACUGGGAAAGGGCCCAGACUCCUACGGGAGGCAGCAGGGGGGAAUUUUGGACAAUGGACGAAAGCCUGAUCCAGCAAUGCCGCGUGCAGGAUGAAGGCCUUCGGGUUGUAAACUGCUUUUGUACGGAACGAAAAGCCCCGGGUUAAUACCCUGGGGUCAUGACGGUACCGUAAGAAUAAGCACCGGCUAACUACGUGCCAGCCGCCGCGGUAA